rnacentral:rRNA from 1 species
GGGAGUAACGCGUGGGUAACCGUGCCUCAUACAGGGGGAUAACAGUUAGAAAUGACUGCUAAUACCGCAUAAGCGCACAGUGCUGCAUGGCACAGUGUGAAAAACUCCGGUGGUAUGAGAUGGACCCGCGUCUGAUUAGCUAGUUGGUGGGGUAACGGCCUACCAAGGCGACGAUCAGUAGCCGGCCUGAGAGGGUGAACGGCCACAUUGGGACUGAGACACGGCCCAA